AAAAAAAUCAGGAUGAAAAAAAGGAGGACCGAAUAGAGUAAAAAUAAAAACACAGGAUAGAGAGUUCAACAAAAAAAAAUGCAGGACAAAAUUAUUCAUCCUAGCCCCUCCCCCAAAAUAAAAAUGAAAUAGAAGCUCCCUUUAUUGACGGUUUCAUUUGGUUUUUUUUUUAUUCAACAGAUAUGAUUUCAUUUCUUAAUGCUUUAUUUUUCCAAACUCUCCCUUAAAAAUCGUAAAUCUGUUAAUAAAAGAAACUAUAAAGUCUGAAUUCCCCAAAAAUACCAGAUCCUCGAAAGGUUCUAUUGUCCCUAUUAAGUGUAGGAAAAAAAAUCUUCAAUUUUAACAAACUUGUCAUUAAUAUGAACUGUCAAAUACCUUAUUCAUAUAAAACAUAUGAAAUCAAUAUAAAGUUGUUAACCCCCAAUGCAUUUUAAUAUUCAACUAGAUAAAUAAGAAAUACCAAAUCUCGCGAA
rnacentral:lncRNA from 1 species